rnacentral:rRNA from 1 species
AGAGGUUUGAUCAUGGCUCAGGACGAACGCUGGCGGCGUGCCUAACACAUGCAAGUCGAACGCGCUCCAUUCGGUAGCAAUACCGAUGAAGAGCGAGUGGCGAACGGGUGAGUAGCACGUGAGCAACCUGCCCCGAAGACUGGGACAACACCGGGAAACCGGUGCUAAUACCGGAUACCCCUGUCGGACCGCAUGAUCCG